UUCAAUAGUUCGAUCCAAUAUUAUAAAUCUUCCACACAGAAUGAAGAAAGAAAAAAUCAAAGGGAACUAUUCUAACGAAAGAAUACUCGUGAACAAGCAGAACAAACAAUUCUAAUUCCAUGUCUAGGAAAUGAGCCUCUACCUAAUCCUGAGUGGAAGAAUAGCAUGCAUGCACGUAAGGAAUUUUGGAUCCUCAAAGAAAAUUGAAUGCCACCAUCCAAAAGAA